rnacentral:lncRNA from 1 species
AAUGUGAUUUGCCUAAAAGCAAAUGAACGAGAGAUAGAACUCAAAGAAUGCGUUCUUUGAGAGACAAGAAAGUAAUCAACAAAUAUAACAAUCUAGUUCCUAUACCAAAAGCUCCAAGGUAGUCGAGAAGGAUUUAUAAACCGUCUCAGUUGAAUGGUUUUGAACUUUAUGACUAUGUCAUAGAGUUACACCUCUUAAUUCGAAAGAAAUAAGAAAGAAAAUCCUUUUGACUACAUUGAGUGUAUAUAUGAUAUAUAUACUCAAGGAAAUGGUAAAGUACCAUUUGACCCGAAAUAAUGAAACCUUCAUAAGCUAAUUGGUAGCUUAAGGUGACUUACAAUCAAAGAAAAUGGUUGACUUUGAAGAAACCAUCUUUGAGAUAGUCUUGGUUUCAAUUAAUUCGAAAAUUGCUAGCUACAACUAAAUGGUGAUUCAAUGUUUGGACAUAAUAUGGGUUUCCGAAACCAUUAUUAAGAUAGUCUUGAUAAUAUAUGUCUAAAACUAUAAAUCACAACAUAUGUAAGUUGUAGAGAUCCAUCCAUCGUGGAUCUUAGCAAGCUAGUGGGAGCUAUUUGCAUCUUAUGAGAAAAAGAUCAAAUCGUUUGAUUUCUCAUAAAGAUGUAAAUGAAUCUUUUGUUUACUAGGUUUACAAAAGAUUAGUGGGAGUUAAUCAUGUUCCUAAAAAUUUAAAAUAUAUAUGAUAUAUUAAUUUUGGAAAUGAAAAGAAUACUUCUUCGUUAAAGUUAUGACUUUAAUACAUUCUAUGAAACGAUAGAAUGUAUAUGGGAGAUAUAGUCUAUAUACAUGGGAAUGGAAAUCUAUAAUUGAUAGAUUUUAGGAUAUAAUUGGAUUAUAUCAAUCCCUAAUAAUAGACAAGAGAUGCU